AAUCUCAUAGCUCAAUUGGUUAGAGCACCGGUCUUUUAAACCGGAGGUUGAAGGUUCGAUUCCUUCUGGGAUUACAA
rnacentral:tRNA from 1 species